AGGCAGAGGGUGGGGGAGGCAGAGGGACCAAGUCCCGGGCUUGAAUAAAAGACUCUAUGCUUUUGCAUUGGACUCGGCUCCCUAGUGGUCUGUCUUGGGGGAUUUUGAAAUCUGGGCAUAACAAUGAAAAGGAAAA